rnacentral:rRNA from 1 species
GACGUACGCUGGCGGCGUGCUUAACACAUGCAAGUCGAACGGAAAGGCCCUGCUUUUGUGGGGUGCUCGAGUGGCGAACGGGUGAGUAACACGUGAGUAACCUGCCCUUGACUUUGGGAUAACUUCAGGAAACUGGGGCUAAUACCGGAUAGGAGCUCCUGCUGCAUGGUGGGGGUUGGAAAGUUUCGGCGGUUGGGGAUGGACUCGCGGCUUAUCAGCUUGUUGGUGGGGUAGUGGCUUACCAAGGCUUUGACGGGUAGCCGGCCUGAGAGGGUGACCGGCCACAUUGGGACUGAGAUACGGCCCAGAUUCCUACGGGAGGCAGCAGUGGGGAAUAUUGCACAAUGGGCGGAAGCCUGAUGCAGCAACGCCGCGUGCGGGAUGACGGCCUUCGGGUUGUAAACCGCUUUCGCCUGUGACGAAGCGUGAGUGACGGUAAUGGGUAAAGAAGCACCGGCUAACUACGUG